GACGAACGCUGGCGGCGUGCCUAAUACAUGCAAGUAGAACGCUGAAGAGAGGAGCUUGCUCUUCUUGGAAGAGUUGCGAACGGGUGAGUAACGCGUAGGUAACCUGCCUUGUAGCGGGGGAUAACUAUUGGAAACGAUAGCUAAUACCGCAUAACAAUGGGUGACCCAUGUCAUUCAUUUGAAAGGGGCAAAUGCUCCACUACAAGAUGGACCUGCGUUGUAUUAGCUAGUAGGUGAGGUAACGGCUCACCUAGGCGACGAUACAUAGCCGACCUGAGAGGGUGAUCGGCCACACUGGGACUGAGACACGGCCCAGACUCCUACGGGAGGCAGCAGUAGGGAAUCUUCGGCAAUGGGGGCAACCCUGACCGAGCAACGCCGCGUGAGUGAAGAAGGUUUUCGGAUCGUAAAGCUCUGUUGUAAGUCAAGAACGAGUGUGAGAGUGGAAAGUUCACACUGUGACGGUAGCUUACCAGAAAGGGACGGCUAACUACGUGCCAGCAGCCGCGGUAAUACGUAGGUCCCGAGCGUUGUCCGGAUUUAUUGGGCGUAAAGCGAGCGCAGGCGGUUUGAUAAGUCUGAAGUUAAAGGCUGUGGCUCAACCAUAGUUCGCUUUGGAAACUGUCAAACUUGAGUGCAGAAGGGGAGAGUGGAAUUCCAUGUGUAGCGGUGAAAUGCGUAGAUAUAUGGAGGAACACCGGUGGCGAAAGCGGCUCUCUGGUCUGUAACUGACACUGAGGCUCGAAAGCGUGGGGAGCGAACAGG
rnacentral:rRNA from 1 species